CCCUCACAUGCCUUUUUGAAAAGGCAAAAUAGUCUUCCAUACUCAUAUUCUUCCUUCCACUGAAAAAGAAAAAAAAAAAAAAAACUUGGGGAAACUUUGGCCCCAAAUUGAGCUCGCGACAAACCAGUGUCCCCCCCCACCCCCCCAUCUCUCUCGACGGUGACGGCAAAGCUUAGUCUUAAAUUGAGCUCACCACUAAACCCUUCUGGGGCUCGAGAGUUUAUGACUCUGCGGUCUGAGCACAACUGGUGCAAGGUCGUCCUCGUUGGCACCGGUGUCACCGUUCUCACCCUCUUACUUAGUAAAUUGGGGACCCCUCCCUCCUCCUCUCCACCCUCCACCGACUGCAGGCCUCCCACCACAUCCUUCAUUCGAAGUUCUCAAACCUCUCCCUCUUAACCAUAAAUUUUAUUAGAGUCUAAACACUGAACAUGAGAAAGAAUACAAGUCUUCUUUUGCAGAGUUAGCUCUGACUCUGUACAAUUCCUUCCCAAUCAGCGCUACACCAACAAAUAAACUACAGAGCCACCCUCCGUCCCCUAAUUUAUUUUUUUUCUUUUUCUGUGGAAGGACGAAGGUGAUAUUGGAAUACCAUUUUGCCCUUUCAAAGGGAUAUGUGAGGGGCACAUUACCCAAAUUGGCCAAAAAAAUAAUACGAAUUUCAUCGUGUGGCCAUUUUUGCUUAUUUUUCAAUGAGCUUGGAGGGUAAAGCGCAAAAAUUUAAAGGCUGGAGGAAUCCCGCGAGGGAGUGCACCUAAAUUGCAAAUGAUCUGUGAAGAAGGGAUACUAUAUCUACUACCUGGGAGCGGUCGAGUGAAGAUUACGUCUGAGUUCUUUCGAAAUGGUUGUUUAGGUCACUAAGGAAGGUAAAUACUGCUUAGUUUUGGCAUUCGAGGCAAGGGAGCUGCAGCUGUCUGAUUUUGAGCAAAGACAGGCAAAAUUUGCUUCAUUCUUUGGACCUGGGAUUGCGGCUGAAAUCGGUGAAGUCCAAUUUAUCAAUAAAAAGUUUUCACGGCUCUCGCAUCUCUCUGAGGGCAAAAGACAGUGCUGUCUCAGGCUCUUGAUGAUGAUGGACAUUUGAUUGCAGGGAAAGGAGAAGACAAUCUGUAUGAAGUGAAAUUAAUCUCCAACACGACUCCCAGUGCUUCAUCAUAGAGGACACCAUUUACUCUCCUAUUCAGUGAUUUAGGUCCUACUCGAAAUCGGAAAUGUAGCACUGGUAGCCCCAUGUGAAAGCACAUCGUCUGGCGUAAUGCCCGUGUAAUCUUCUUGUAAAUGUGAAACGUUGGAAGUACAAUAAUAUGCAAGUAUGCCUAUAUACUAAUACAACAGGAUUGACACAGAUAUUUGUCCACUGCAGAGGCAUUGCGUUUCGGUUGAUGUUGUCCGAAUCAAUCUUGCUUCCGAGAA